AUAUUCUGAAAUUUUUCUGUUCGAGCUGAAAAAGAAUCUCAGUAGAAUCACUGUUGUAAUACAGCAAGGUAAGUAAUUUUAAAAAAUCAUUUUCAAGUAUUUCGAAAAUCGUUUUUAAUUCGUUUUUCAUUUUUCUAGUUCCCGCGGAUACAGGAAGUCGUGACAAAACAAAUUAUUGAAUGAAAAUCAUUAGAUGAAUUAUCUAUGAAAGCAGCAUCCGUUUAGCAAACAUUUCUCAUGGAUACAGAGUCGUGACGAAAUGGAUGAGGAAUAUCAGAAGGAUCACUUUCUAUGAAAAGCAUCAUCUGUUUUGCAGGUCGAUUUUGUACAGAACGUGAAGACUGGCAUUAAUCUGCAGCACCCGAAGUUUAUUUAAAUAUUAUUCUACCAGUUUGCAGUCUCGCAGUUCGGGAGAGAGGAAAACUAUCAAAAAUUUCUUUGAAUUCGAUUGUUAUGAGCUUUGAUAUGUCAAAUUUUUGUUGGUGAGAAAAAGGAGAGAUACGGUAAGAGGGAGCUGGGUGAUGUCAGAGCUCAAAAUUUUGGAUUCAGGAUAUAUUUAAUAGCAAUGCUUACAUUUUGUGUAUUUCGCAAAGUAUUUUGCAGUAACGAAAUGAAUUGUUUGUCAGGUCUCAUAUCCAACCAGGACGUUUAAUCGGACCAGCAGUUCAGGUGUUGUCACAUUUUUUUUUUAUUUCGUUAGUUAAUAAGGGAUCCCAUGAUUAAAUUAAAAUGAUGAUCUUGAUCAAUGUGUUAAAAUUUGUAUUGACCAUCAAUGACAAUUUUUAAUUAGUAUUUUUAUAUCAUUAAUGAUUCCAAUAUUUUGCUGCUUUGACAUCUGCGCCGUAUAUACAACAACAUUUGACAUAUCAGACGUAAUUUCUUUUACUUUGUUUUAAC